rnacentral:rRNA from 1 species
UACAGAGGGUGCGAGCGUUGUCCGGAAUCACUGGGCGUAAAGGGCGCGUAGGUGGUGGCUUAAGCGUGCGGUGAAAGCUCGGGGCUCAACUCCGAGUCGGCCGUGCGAACUGGGCUCACUGGAGCAUAGUAGAGGCAGAUGGAAUUCCGGGUGUAGCGGUGGAAUGCGUAGAGAUCCGGAAGAACACCGGUGGCGAAGGCGGCCUGCUGGGAUAUGGCUGACACUGAGGCGCGACAGCGUGGGGAGCAAACAGG